ACGACCUUACUUGAACAGGAUCUGUUCUAUAGGCUCGUACCUCUGUAUCCUUGAGUUCUAAGGAGACAGGAAAUCAAGCCUGGUGGAUGAAUUGUGGUUAAGGGGCUAGAGCGUGAGUAACAGCACCGUACCUUCACCGGUCGGAGAUGUAGAGGAUCGUUUCCGGUCGUGGUACCACGGUUGGGAUGGCCCCUUGGCUAUCUGACAGGCU